GACGAACGCUGGCGGCGUGCCUAAUACAUGCAAGUAGAACGCUGAAGCUUGGUGCUUGCACCGAGCGGAUGAGUUGCGAACGGGUGAGUAACGCGUAGGUAACCUGCCUGGUAGCGGGGGAUAACUAUUGGAAACGAUAGCUAAUACCGCAUAAGAGUAGAUGUUGCAUGACAUUUGCUUAAAAGGUGCAAUUGCAUCACUACCAGAUGGACCUGCGUUGUAUUAGCUAGUUGGUGAGGUAACGGCUCACCAAGGCAACGAUACAUAGCCGACCUGAGAGGGUGAUCGGCCCAACUGGGAAUGGGACACGGCCCAGACUCCUACGGGAGGCAGCAGUAGGGAAUCUUCGGCAAUGGACGGAAGUCUGACCGAGCAACGCCGCGUGAGUGAAGAAGGUUUUCGGAUCGUAAAGAUCUGUUGUAAGAGAAGAAAGAGUGUGAGAGUGGAAAGUUCACACUGUGACGGUAUCUUACCAGAAAGGGACGGCUAACUACGUG
rnacentral:rRNA from 1 species